rnacentral:piRNA from 1 species
UGGAAUUGUUCCUGAUGAAGGUUAAAC